CAGUAGCCACGGUAAUACGAAGGGUGCAAGCGUUACUCGGAAUUACUGGGCGUAAAGCGUGUGUAGGUGGUUGUUUAAGUCUGUCGUGAAAGCCCUGGGCUCAACCUGGGAAUUGCGAUGGAUACUGGGCGACUAGAGUGCGGUAGAGGAUAGUGGAAUUUCCGGUGUAGCAGUGAAAUGCGUAGAGAUCGGAAGGAACAUCUGUGGCGAAGGCGACUAUCUGGGCCAACACUGACACUGAGACACGAAAGCGUGGGGAGCAAACAGGAUUAGAUACCCGCGUAGUCCCUGUCUCUUAUAA
rnacentral:rRNA from 1 species